rnacentral:lncRNA from 1 species
ACUGAGAUCUCUCUCCUCACAGUUGUUAGAACAAUGUUAUCAUGGCUAUAACUGUGAUAGGUAGUAGAUAUCGAUCGUAUUAGUUCUGCUACUUAAUCUCUCAUAUUUUUGACUGUGGCAAUCCAUGCUUCUCAAGUCAUUUGUAAGUUCUUGUGUUUAGAAGAACCACUACAACAACAAGUAAAAUCUUUGGAGUCACCAUCUCAUCGGAAUAUAUGUGAAGAACUAAACAUGCAUGUGGAUCCUGUCACAAGUGUGUGUCUCUGUCGAACUGACCGAUGAAGAACAACAAAUUAACUCCCCCCUUAAAGAGUGGUUCCAUCCAUUUCGGAAUGCUGAUCCUCCAUCGUUCGAAAGCUACUCAACACCUUGAGAGGAGAGAAGCCAAAGUUUGGCUGUUCGAUGCCAUCCAAUUCAAACAAGAGGUCUGCCAUAUGAUUGACGUUUUGAACAACGGACACCGACAAAAGUGUUUUUGUUAUUCCUAGCUUACAUAUCAUCGAAGCAAUCCUAGCUUUAAUUAUCAUGAUCGCUUAGGCAUUGUCAUCAUAAUCUUCCUCGACCAAAAGGCAAGUUUUCUAUUCUUUUUUGAGUGAAAGAUAGAUAAUAAAAAAAAUGCAAGAUUUGAUCCAUUAAUCUUGGUGAGGAGUGACAUCAAAUUGAUGAAGCACUUAACCUUUGAGGAAGUGAGAGUGAUGGUUGGUUUGCUAUCAUUUCUUGUCCCCGUCAAAGUUGCCUUUCUUUUCCCAACAUGAUAUUUGUUCUUCUGUGGACAUGACUACGAACUAUAGUAGAGAUUGUAAGGUGACCUGCUAAAAGUUGUAAACGGUGACACGAAGUCAAAAAGUUCCCCUUGCCCAGCAGCCAUGACAGUCAUAGAUUCAUCAUAUGCAACAGUUUUAAUUUUGAUGAAACUGAGUGAGAGAGAGGAACACACUCCAAAAUGAUUUGCAUGAAGGUGCAAACAAAAAAAAAAAACCUUUUUGUCUUCCAAUUUUCUAUUUACGAGAAG